AGUGAACGCUGGCGGCAGGCCUAACACAUGCAAGUCGAACGCGUGGCGGACGGGUGAGGAAUAUAUCGGAAUCUACUCUGUCGCUGGGGAUAACGUGGGGAAACUUAGGCUAAUACCGCAUACGAUUGACUGAGCCGAUGUUGGAUUAGCUAGUUGGUGGGGUAAAGGCUCACCAAGGCGACGAUCCGUAGCUGGUCUGAGAGGAUGAUCGGCCACACUGGAACUGAGACACGGUCCAGACUCCUACGGGAGGCAGCAGUGGGGAAUAUUGGACAAUGGGCGCAAGCCUGACCCAGCCAUGCCGCGUGGGUGAAGAAGGCCUUCGGGUUGUAAAACUCUGUUAUUGGGGAAGCGGUACCCAAAGAGUAAGCACCGGCUAACUUCGUGCCAGCAGCCGCGGUAAUUC
rnacentral:rRNA from 1 species